rnacentral:rRNA from 1 species
GACGAACGCUGGCGGCGUGCUUAACACAUGCAAGUCGAACGAAGAGCGAUGGAAGCUUGCUUCUAUCAAUCUUAGUGGCGAACGGGUGAGUAACGCGUAAUCAACCUGCCCUUCAGAGGGGGACAACAGUUGGAAACGACUGCUAAUACCGCAUACGAUCUGACCUCGGCAUCGAGGAUAGAUGAAAGGUGGCCUCUAUUUAUAAGCUAUCACUGAAGGAGGGGAUUGCGUCUGAUUAGCUAGUUGGAGGGGUAACGGCCCACCAAGGCGAUGAUCAGUAGCCGGUCUGAGAGGAUGAACGGCCACAUUGGGACUGAGACACGGCCCAGACUCCUACGGGAGGCAGCAGUGGGGAAUCUUCCGCAAUGGACGAAAGUCUGACGGAGCAACGCCGCGUGAGUGAUGACGGCCUUCGGGUUGUAAAGCUCUGUUAAUCGGGACGAAAGGCCUUCUUGCGAAUAGUUAGAAGGAUGACGGUA